rnacentral:tRNA from 1 species
UCCCUGGUAGUUCAGAUAGUAAAGACUCUGUCUGUAAUGCAGGAGACCCAGGUUCAAUUCCUGGGUAGGGAA